ACAUUAAUGAAUAUUACUGUGUAAGAUCUCUGUAGUAGGACUUGAAUUCCCUUAGGUGCCCACUGAAGAUUGUAUAGCUGGGUCAUAUUGCAGGACUAUUCGUGGUUUUCUCAGAAGCUUUUAUGCUGAUUUCCAUAAUGGCCACACUAGCUACAAUCCACCAGCAGCGAACGGUUCUCCUCUUUCCCCACAUCCUCCUCCUCACAUUUUAUCUUCAGCUUUCUUCAUGUAAGUCAUUCUGACUGGGAUGAGAUGGGAUCUCAAGGAGUUUUAAUAUUUCUUUCCCCAAUGCAUGAGACUAUUGAACACCAUUUUAUUUCUAAUAGAAAUUUGGCCCUCCUAGACUGCCAAUAUUUGGCUUGAAUUAAUUAUUGGUAAUGUAAUUUCUUGCUUAUUUUCCAUUUUAAUUCAGUCUUAAAUUUUUAUUUUCAUAGAAAUAACUUAUUCUGUUAUCUGUGUGUAUAUCUGUGUGUGCAUAUAUAUGUGUGCAACACGUGUAUACAUGUGUGUGGAGUCCUACAGUUGACGUCAGUUAUCUUCCUUUAACAUGCUCUACCUUAUUUUAUUUUUCUUUUGAGACUGUAUUUCUUACUGAACCUGGAAUUCACCAAAUGGCUGGACUGACUAGCCUGUACAGUUUGGCAUUCUCCUGCUUCCAUCUCACCAGCUCUGGGGUUAGAAGCACACUCUACACCUGGCUUUUUGCAUGGGUGUUGGGGAUCCGAAGUCAGGCCUUCAUGAUUGUGAGGCUCUUGUGACCGAGUGAAGACUGGGGCUCAGAGCUCUCUUGGAUUUGACACAGCUCCUUGUUCCUUCCUGCUUCCGAGGAGGAUUCACAUGAGUGGAAGCAGCUCCUGGUAGAAAUGGUCCCUCAUCACGCCAUCUGCAAUUCCGUGAAGGUCCCAUUUGUACUGUGUUAUAGGAACAUCUUCCUUCUUCAAGCCGACUGAUGUUCCCUGGCAUCUACAACCCUCGCACAUUUUACCCACUUGUCUAUUGAUGGGCACUCCAGUAACUGCCACAUUUACACUGUUGUGAAUAACACUAUCAUGGCGCUGCCAGCAGAAGGUGUGGCCUGAAUUAAAGGUGGAGUUUCUCACUUCAAAAGAUCUGGAUUAAUGGUGUGUCUUCUUCUCACUUAAAAGAAUACAUAUCAAAAGUCGGUCUUUCUGCUUCAAAUGAUUUUAUUUAUAGAAAAAAAUCCCUCAGAGAUGUCCACAGCCACUUCGGAUUUACUUGAAUCUAGAUGGAGAAAUGUAGACAACCAAGAGUAUCCAUCUUGUACGUCCUCUUCCACAAGGAUCCCUGGGCCUUGAGAGGAGAGAGUGCAGUAUGUAUGUUCCAUCUGGGGCUGAGCAUUCUGUAAUCUCCUACUUUCUGGCUAAAAGUGGGCCUUUCUGUUAAUAACCAUCUACUAUAAAUAGAAGCUUAUACAUUGUUGGGAGGUAGUUUAAUACUAUGUCCAUUUAGCAAAAUAAUGGUGGACGUCAACCUGCUUGUUAUUGAGGUUCAGGAAUCUGUAUAGUCUACAUAUUGAUCUCUUAUCAGAUAUGUGAUCCCCCCCCCCAUCUUUCUGCUUGCCAUUUUACUCCACUUAUAUUAGGAAGUAUAAGUUGUAAAUUUUUCCCUGGAUUCCAGUUUGCCUCUCUCCCCUUGCUGCUGAUGUCAUUGGUAUCCUGUUCAAGAAGCCGCCACCCUCACAAUGCUGGGAUGCUUUUGUCUUACAUUUCCUUCCAAGAAUUUUGAUGUUUUCGGUUUUACACUUAGAUCUCAGAGCCCAUUCUUAAUUAAUUCUUAAUUAACUUUGUAUAACUUUGUAUGGAAAGAUAGGGGUCCCAGUUCAUUCUUUUUGCACAUGAGACCUAGUUUCUUUAACCCCAUUUGCUGGGUAGACCUCUCUUAGCUUACUGCCUUCUGUUUAUUUUUCUUGUCUAAUGGCUUUGGUCAGGCCUUCUAGUAACUGUGCUGAACAGAAGGGUUAAAGCAAGCCUUUUUUGUGGCUGAUCUUUGAGAAAAGCAUUCAAUUUUUUUUUCAACGUUAAACGUGUUACUCUUGAAGGUUUCACAUAUAUUGUGGUGGCAUGAAUAUGCUUGACCCAAGAAAUGGCACUACUAGGAGGUGUGGUCUUGUAGGAGUAGGUGUGGCCUUAUUGGAGGAAAUAAGUCACUCUGUGGGUGGGCUUUAUGCCUCCUCCUCCUCCUCCUCCUCCUCCUCCUCCUCCUCCUCCUCCUCCUCCUCCUCCUCCUCCCAUGAGCCAGUCUUAUCGUAUUUGCUUUCAGAACAAGAUAUAGAACUCUCAGCUCCUCCAGAACCAUGCCUGCCUUGAUUACUACCAUGCUCCAACCUUAGCGAUAAUGGACUGAACCUCUGAACCUGUAAGCCAGCUCCAAUUAAAUGUUGUCCCUUAUACGACUUGCCUUGGUUCAUGGUGUAUCUUCAUAGCAAUGGAAACCCCAAGUCAGGCAUAUAUGAUUUUAUUAUGCUGAGAUUUCUUUCUAAUCUAUGUGUGUUGAGUGUCUUUACUAUGGAUGGAGCUUGAAUUUCAUCAAAUCCUCUUUCUGCAUCAUUUGAGUUGGUCACAUAAUUUUGUUGAAGGAUGCUACAGUAACCAAUUUCUUUUCACAGUCAGGACCACCACAGAAUCCCAGAUACAAAUCCCUCCUGAUCAGAGGGCAUGGCUAUUUUAGCAUGCCGACUAAAAUUGUUGGCUAGUAUUCUGUUGUGUAUUCAUAAAAAUAUUGUUCUGUAGUUGUAUUUUAUUCCAGUGUCUUUGCUUUCUAGACCAUGCUGGUCCUAUAAUAUGAGUUAGGAAGUGUGUGAGACCAGUAUAAAUUCUUAAAAUGUUUUCCUUACUUACUUUUGAAAGAUAAUUUUGCAGAGCAUGGAAUUCUGGGUUGUUGUUUUCUUCUCUAACACUUUAAAUAUUUCACUCCAGCCUACUCUCACUUGGGUGGCUUCUGAGGGGAAGCUAGAUAUGAUGUUUAAUCUUUUCUUUAGAUAAUGUGGUUUACACACUGAAUUCUUUCAAGGCUAAGAAAAAAAGCACUUUGAUUUUAUGAAGUUAGAGUAUGGUGUGCCUAACUAACAGGGUUUGAGUAUUUGGGGCGGGGAUAGUAAUCUGUUUGAUGCACUUUGAGAUCCUUGGAUCUGUGCUUUGGUGCCUGCUCCCAAUUCUGUUAAACAUUAACACUCAUCAUUUCAAAUGUGUCCCUUGUCCCUUCCUCUCUCCCCUGCCAUUCCCAUCACAUACAUGCAUUUGUACCUUGACAGUCCCUGAAUAUCCUGUUCUAUUAGUCAAUCAUUGUAUCUUCUUCUUUUUAGUUUUAAAGGCUUCUACUAAGAUGUCCUCAAGCAUAGAGGACAUCCCCUCUCAACUAUGUCAUCUGCUAAUGACCCAACUGAAAGCAGAGUCUGCUGUGGUUGCUUGUGGCCCUUGCCGUUUCUGUGGUUUUGGUUUCUACUGUGUGUUUCCAUGCCUUCCUGCACACGUUCCUGAUGCCUCUCUCUUCGUGUUUUAGAACUCUUAGCUGCUAAGUGUUAGCUAAGGCUUAACACAUUAGUCACUGCUGCUCUGAAUUCCCAAUCCCAAAAUCCUUACCCUGUCUCCUUCUGAUAUCGGCUCUGCCAUUUCAGAUCAGGGUUUUGCCGCUGAAUAUGCCUUGUGACCUCCUUCUUGAUGGCUAUUCACGACGCGCAGAGAAAAACAAGCUACUGUAGCUUGGUUUGUGGUGGUGUGCUGAGAUGGAAAGGAAAGGAAGAAGUGUUUGUUGGAUCUUGAAUUCAUUCUCAGUCUGUUAGUGAACCUCUGGCUGUCCGGGAUGUGAACUCCACAGCACCCCCUGUUGUUUCAUCUCAUUCACCAUGACAAACAGGCCUGAGCAGCAAUAAGAAGCCACACACUCACAUAUAGAUUAGUCAAAAAAAAAAAAAAAAAAAAUCAUGCACUUCAGCGACACCAAAUUCUGAGCAGAAGGUGGAGCAAGAAGAAGCCAGGGCAUUACUGAGGGGUUGCAGAAUGGUGCAGCUUUUUGGAAGAUAGAACUUACCAAACCAAACUCUCCCACUCCAGGAUUUUGGGACCAUAGGCUCUGAUCCUAACCCAGAGGAGCAGAAAACAUGCAUAAACAUGUGCAUGCACACAGAUAGACACACACACACACACAGGCUCUGAUCCUAACCCAGAGGAGCAGAAAACAUGCAUAAAUAUGUGCAUGCACACAGAUAGACACACACACACACACACACCGAGAGAGAGAGAGGGGGAGAGAGAGAGAGAGAAUACCUAGGAGAGUAGAUACCAUGCAACAUGGAAUAUGACCUAGCACUGGACAGAAAGGAGCUGUCACAUUCCUCAUUCAGAAACACUCAUACUGUCAGAAGUCAUCUAACGCCAUGUGUGGCCAUUCGGUGACUCUGGCUCACUGGUUUUAUUCAGGUUUUGCAUCUCAGCUGGGCACUGGUUUUUGUUUAUGUUUGAUUUUUGUUUUUGUUUUGUUUUGUUUUUUCCUGUUUCUAGCUUCAGAGUGUGUCCCAACUCUGAGGACAUCUGGCAUAGUAUAGGGUCACCCAAGCACCCCUGUAUCCUGGAUGAGGCGCUCAAAAGAGCAAGGGCAUCCUUCUCUGGACAGCUGUGACACACUUGCUGUGACAAGGACAAGGCAGCAGAAAGCACAGCUGCCUACUGGUUGUCAGGAUCUGGGUCGCUGAGGGCCUGGAUCCUUCCCUCUGGGAAGACAAUGAAAAACCUCUGAGAUGACAGUACAUGCUCUCACAAACUAGGACAAAGACAGCAGGCAGCAAACAGCAGUCACCACUCAGCUCUCAGCAAGCAGCCUUUUGCCUAACCACCAGGAGCCAGCCACCUCCCAGUCCUAGUCAUGCUGGCAGGGACCAUGAACUGCAGAGGAGAUGGAUAUGGGAGGAAGACACCCAGAAGCACCUGUGUGGCAUGGAACCUUGCCUGUCACUGAGAGAGUUCAGGGAAUGGGAGAUGACAAAGGAGCCCUUCAGUUAGAGAGGAGACAGGCAUGGGUUUGCAGUUGAAGGGUGUCAGCUGAUACUGUUGGCUGUGGCUCAUCCUGAACUGUCCUGGGGUACCUAGAAGUAUCCUGAGCCAUCCUGUGUAUCUUGGAUGUCUUGGGCUAUCUUGGGGAGUAGGGGAUAUCCUAGGAUGAUUUAAACUGUCUUGAGGGUCCUGAGAUAUCCUUAGCACUCCUGAAUUCUCAUGCUAGAUGUGACUUAUGGCCGCUCCAGAUAACUUUGAAACUCUGAGCAGAUGAUUACCUCUUUAUCAUUCCGUCUUCACAAUAGCCGCUAACUUGGGAGUAGAUAGUGUGGGCCAGGAUGCUGCAGGACAACGCCAGAGAACAAACAUGGAACUCCCCCAUUAGGAAAGAGACAAUUACCCCUCCUCUCCCCGACCCAGGAGUGCAUGCUGAUUUUGCUUCCAUGGAAAUGGAUAGAAAAACCCUCACGUUAAUAAAUCUUAAAGUUCCUAGCACCCGAAGUCUUUGGGGUCUUUCCCACUGUUAUCUACGUCAGGGUUCCAGGAGGUAUCAGUCCCUCCCCACUAACUGCUGUCACGAGAGAAUGCCCUUUAUAGCCUCAUUGCCCCUUCAAGAGGAUCCGAGAACCCUGGAGGCAGAAGGCAGCUCCUACCUCUCAGCCCCAAAAGGUAGGUAGAAUAGGGAGAGGCAGAAGUGAGCCACACCCACAUCUCCCACCCGCCCACUCCCUAUUCCAUUUUUUUAUUGACCAGCUCUCCUAUCCUUUUGAAAUAUUUUAAUUUUGUAUACACGAUGAUGUAUUAUGACAUUUUAAUGUAUACACUGGAACACACACACUUAUACCUUGCUCCCUUUUAUCCCUCUGUCCCUCCCGCCUUUCUUCUGCAUCCUCUUCAUCUUCCUAUAUAGCCCCGUUUAUGCUUUCAUGCCACAUGCCCCA
rnacentral:lncRNA from 1 species